UAUAAGUGAGAAAAAGAUUCACGCAAAACCUUUCAAAUCGCAAACAUGCCAAAUUUUCUGCCGUUUGCGUUUCUGUUUUUUUCAAUGAAUUUUGGCACAAACCUCUCGAGUGGGUGGGCUUUAUGAGGAAUGCAUCCUCAUUGGCUAAUAAAUUAUGAGUGACAGCUCUGUGCCCCCGGAUGUUGUUCUGUCUUUGGCGCCGUGGGGCGGGAAUUUUUUUCGACUCUACUGCGCAUGCCCAUGUGCCCAGCACAGCGAGAGGACAAGAGUUCAACUACUGUAUUUUGGCUCACUUCACUUAAAUUCUCGGGACCGACUCCGCCACCUGUCUGACCUCUCGUACAGAAGAGCUACGAUGCAGUCUCAGGACCAAGAUUCACGCACGAUUCAGUCCCCUUCUCAGAAAUGAAACCAUUGAUUUGGAGUACCUCCUCAAUGUUGCUCAACAAGAGCUUUCAUUGGCAACAGUGGCAUCAAAUCACCAGAGCAUCCCACGGGAAGACCAUAACAGUCUACAGGAGUUAAUCAACACCCUUAGCUUGAAUGUUGUAUCUGCUCCGGCUCCUGAAGCCUCCCAAUGUGUCAAAUACUGUAACUGUGAAUUAUGGGAAUCGGGAACGGCCACGCCUGGAAACUGACAAUGAUAAUAUUCAAAGUCUCCUAUUUUGGCAAGGAUGGUACAACUUAUAUUUGUAGCUUGCAGAACAGAGUGUGUUACUGCACCAGUCCUUGGUUCAUGGAGACACCAACCAUAAGUUAAUCAGGUGAGUGUUUCAAUCUUCUGCUUACUCUGAUAAGCUCACUCAUAUUUUUCUUGUUUUUGUCCUUUGCCAACCACUUCUGAAAAUGUAUGUUACCUCCUGUUCAGAUGUAAUAUUGUGAUAUUUGGUGGGAUCAACGGUUUCACAAGAAGGGUACGUGAAAGAUGGGUGUUGAAAAAAAGAUACACUCAAAAUUGUGAUGACUUUAUUUUUGUUCUACCCACCUUUUCACACAAUGUUACGGUAGUCAAAUCCAGACGGACCUCUUUUUAUUAGUCUUUGUUUUAACUUCAUGAGAGUGAAAUCUAUCUACCCGUUCCUUUUACAUUCUAGAUCUUGAUGCUGCCACCAACAACAAAGCCUCAACGGCAUUCUCCUUCUUCAUGGAUGGUGUCCACAAACAUGGAUGGCCCUCAAGGUAGGAAGUACAUCAACGGAUCAUUAUUAUUUGUUGGCUGGGCUUCAUUAUCGGUUAAUCCCUUGGACUCCAGCACAAGGCACGAUGACUGAUUAAAUUAUUUUAGAGUGCGUGCUGACCAGGGAGUGGAACAUGUUGACAUCGCACGAUGCAUGUUCUCUGUACGAGGAACUGGACAUGGCAGCUUCAUUGCUGGCAAAAGUGUCCACAAUCAAAGCUGGAACAGGCAUCCAAUGAGAACUGAAGGAAACUGUUCCGCAGAACAGCUGAGGUACAUUGGAGUUCUCCAAACACCUUUGGCUAAACCAGAUAUAGAGGUACACUUGAAUUCACUUAAUAAACACUUUACUUAGAUCGUUAUUUCUCAAAACGUAAGUAAUGUGGUAGGCCCAAGUGCUCAACUAAAAUGAGGUAGGCUUUUACUGCUGACAGGUAUAAUUGAUAAAUUGGGCUCUAACCCACAGUUUUAACAUUAACACUGCAUUCCAAGUAAGGGAGAAAAAAACAAAAAAACAAAUAAUGAUUGAAUUACAUAUAUUGCGCAUAAGUUAAAUAGAAAUUGUACCUAAAUGUUUGGAAAUAAACACUUCAGAAAGAUCAAAUGCCAAUUGGUUGUUCUUCAAAUGUAAAUACAUACAACUGAACUGAACAUUUUAAACACCUCAUUUUGUGAUUUUUUGAAUACCACUAUAGGGAGCACACACACCACUGGUGAUACUUGUACAACACUUGCUACAUACACGGAUGCCAGGAUUUUAACCAGAACCAGAAAAAAAAGACUUGACUACUGGUUUCUCUUUGGAUCCCAUGUUUUAAAUUGGAGUUUAGUACUAAUUACUUUUCAAGUUCUCCAUGGCCUUCCUCCAGGCUACCCAAUAGAUCAUUUACUACUCUAUAAACCUACUCAUACUUGGACGGCAGAGGACCCCCUGGUAUUUUUUGGGUUAUUUUAUUGGAAUGUAAAUUUUAACUUAAAUGUUGAUACAGCUUGAGAUCGUUAUGACUGAACCUUUACCCUAUUAUUUUAUAAACCUUUAAAUCGGGUGACAAGAAUGCAACAGUUUUAACGCAUGUGAUGUUUUCUUUUUUUGGUUUUCGGCCAGCUUCCAGUGCAAUCUUCCUCAGUAGUCUUCUUCUGGUGUGAGAAUUUCCAAACAGUCCACUAUGUGUGUCCCCCUAAAAAUGGCCAAGUAUGUUCGAUCACUCUUAAUUGUUCUAAACUAAACUUACUGUCUUACAGUCGUUGGAGCCUUUUUCUCCAGCAUAACAGCACUGAUCCUGACCCUGAUGACCCUGAUCCGACCAUUGCGUUGAUGUCCUUCAGGGAUGAAUAAAUCCCAUCACAUAGACCUUGUGUGACCAGGAACCUGAUAUUCAAACACUAGAUCUUCAGCAAACAUGUAGAAUUGUUAAAAUUUUAUAUUUUGUUAUAAGGUAUUUGUGUGCAUGACUGCAAGUUUCAAGUGGUAUCAGCAUUCAAGAUUUAGUUUGGAGGUUAUUUUUUCCAAAAGAUGAUUUGUUGUUCAUUCAGUGCCUCUUUGAUAUGUUGUUGAAAAAUAUUUUAACUCUAUAUAUUACCUUUUGCUCAAAAUUGACUGGAUGCUGUGUAUUUCCUUGUCUGACAUCCUGUCUGGGUUGAAUUGCAUACGACUUUGUUUUCCAAUAAAAAAAAUAAAAAUAAAAAAUUGUCGUCACUUAAUAAUAACACUUUUGAAACUGGUCCACCCUCGGAACCUACCAUAAA